rnacentral:rRNA from 1 species
CCCUUAGAUGUUCUGGGCCGCACGCGCGCUACACUGACUGACUCAACGAGUUUACAACCUGUGCCGAAAGGUAUGGGUAAUCUUUUGAAAUUCAGUCGUGAUGGGGCUAGAUUAUUGCAACUAUUAAUCUUCAACGAGGAAUGCCUAGUAAGCGCGAAUCAUCAGUUCGCGUUGAUUACGUCCCUGCCCUUUGUACACACCGCCCGUCGCACCUACCGAUUGAAUGGUCCGGUGAAGCCUCCGGAUUGGCGCGCACCUCGGUGCCGCCGAGAAGUUGGCUAAACCUUACCAUUUAGAGGAAGGUGAAGUCGUANCA